rnacentral:lncRNA from 1 species
AGCAAAACUCAUACCAUUUAAGACAUUACUUCACACCCUUCUUCUAGCAUUGUUGCAUCGCAUUUGCUUUACAUGCUACGUAUUUAGUAGCAUUUUAUUGUUUUCUCAAUUCCUUGUUCAAAAUUUUGAGUUAAUUCUAACUAUUCCGGCCUUUUAUCUCUUCUGUUAAAAGCUGGUCACAAUGGAAUCUGUUCGUGCCAUAAAUGUCCCCAUGUAAACCACCCUUAGGAGGACUGCUUAUGGCUUUCUUUGACGGGACAGAAACAUUCCUUGCGUGUUUUUGGCGGGUAUUCAACUCUUUGAUGCUGAUUUAAUAGAUGAUAAGCUGCUAUAAUGGAUACUUACGAAAGCAUGUUACAUAAUAAUAUCAGUCAAGGAAACGAGCUUUUCCUGAAGAUUAGCCUUUGGAACCAGCUAUAUCCGGAUAUUUUCAUCAAGUUUAUUCUCAUGAUGAUGGUGUUAGGAUUGUUGCCAUUAAUGUGCAGCAAUUAACAACAUGUGCAAUCUAUUCUAAGAAAUAGGGUCGUCAUUAUAAAAAAACUACAACGAUAGUUGCACCAACCAUUGAUAAAAUGGUGCAAUCCGUAUGCAGCCACCUUCAUUGAAGAUGAGUUGGAGCUAGUGGCACCAUCCUUACCUAUAAAUAGGCACCAAGAGAGAGAGUUGUGAGAGUAUGUGAAGAGAAUAAGAGAGAAAGAGAGAAGAAAGAACUGCAAGGGCAUCAAUGAGAGCUGGGAGUUAAGUUUAAGUGAAGUGAUCAUUCUCCUUCAUGUAUUUGUAUUGUACUCUUUCUUUAUCUUUAAUAAUAUUGACAUCUCUCGUGGAUGUAGGUAAUUUGCCGAAUCACGUUAAAUAUUGUGUCAGUGUGCUUAGUCUUCAAUGAGCAACUAUCAGUACAUCACCGGUCGGAUUCCCCAAUAAAUGGUAUGAGAGUUAUGUAUAUUUAGAUUCCUUAUCAAGUCCUCAACUAAAAGAAAGGUCGAAUAUCAAGAUGGUAUUUGGUGCAAGUUCAUGAAUUCAUAACAGAGUGUUCGAAUGGUUAGAUGAUUAGUACUUUUGUGCUUGAAGAUAAAGAAAAAAUAUAUGUAGAUCAUGAGGUGAUCAACAGUAAGAGUAUCGAAACGAAAUUAGGAGUCUAGAAGGAUGAGUGCUGCUAACAAGAAACAUUUGACAGGCUAUUUAUAUGCACUUCUGGGAAGUUAAAGAUGCCAUGUUGAAGAUAACUUGAAACUGAUUAGAAGGAGUGAUUUGAUUUAUAGCUAUGCUGUUGUCUUUGUCGCAAGCAUUUUUACAGCAAUAAAUCUAGCUUCUAUUGCUCGAAUUGGUAACAAACCUGAAAUUAGUGCAUAAUUCUACUUACUUCGCAGGAAUAAUAUGUGGGCCAAUCUUACUUUUUUGGACAUCAAUUAGAGGAGACCUAGAAAGGAUAAGGAACUUCCACUUUCUCCUCAUCAGAAAGUAGUGUAAA